GCCUGGGUGGCUCAGUCGGUUAAGCAUCUGACUUCAGCUCACAUCAUGAUCUCACGGUUUGUGGGUUUGAGCCCCACAUCAGGUU
rfam:Felis catus isolate Cinnamon breed Abyssinian chromosome B2, whole genome shotgun sequence.